UCGACGGAAACAUGUCUAGCUUGCUAGAUGAUGUCGAGUGGCGGACGGGUGAGUAAUGCUUGGGAACUUGCCUUUGCGAGGGGGAUAACAGUUGGAAACGACUGCUAAUACCGCAUAAUGUCUUCGGACCAAACGGGGCUUCGGCUCCGGCGCAAAGAGAGGCCCAAGUGAGAUUAGCUAGUUGGUGAGGUAAAGGCUCACCAAGGCAACGAUCUCUAGCUGUUCUGAGAGGAAGAUCAGCCACACUGGGACUGAGACACGGCCCAGACUCCUACGGGAGGCAGCAGUGGGGAAUAUUGCACAAUGGGGGAAACCCUGAUGCAGCCAUGCCGCGUGUGUGAAGAAGGCCUUCGGGUUGUAAAGCACUUUCAGUUGUGAGGAAAAGUUAGUAGUUAAUACCUGCUAGCCGUGACGUUAACAACAGAAGAAGCACCGGCUAACUCCGUGCCAGCAGCCGCGGUAAUACGGAGGGUGCGAGCGUUAAUCGGAAUUACUGGGCGUAAAGCGCACGCAGGCGGUUUGUUAAGCUAGAUGUGAAAGCCCCGGGCUCAACCUGGGACGGUCAUUUAGAACUGGCAGACUAGAGUCUUGGAGAGGGGAGUGGAAUUCCAGGUGUAGCGGUGAAAUGCGUAGAUAUCUGGAGGAACAUCAGUGGCGAAGGCGACUCCCUGGCCAAAGACUGACGCUCAUGUGCGAAAGUGUGGGUAGCGAACAGGAUUAGAUACCCUGGUAGUCCACACCGUAAACGCUGUCUACUAGCUGUUUGUGACUUUAAGUCGUGAGUAGCGAAGCUAACGCGAUAAGUAGACCGCCUGGGGAGUACGGCCGCAAGG
rnacentral:rRNA from 1 species